rnacentral:lncRNA from 10 species
GUAAGUGCUCGAUCAAGAUUUUUAGUAGUUCACUGAAGCGUGAUUUCAAAAAGAAAGCCAAAGCAAAAUUCAGCAUUGUUAAGAAUUGUGUUUCGUGAAUUUGUUUAAACACUGUUCACCUCAAUUCCCACCUCCCUGCUAUUUGGGAUCUACAAUGCUGUUGAAUUUACAAUGGUAAUUUCAAGGUCCAGAGCUGAAGACAUGAGCCUUUGGGAGUAACCCUACUCUUCCUCUGAUAUUGUUCCCUGCAUUUCCUGGAUCUCCAGCCUUCUCUGAUAUUAGCCAUGAAUAUCAUAUGUAUUGGGGAAUCAGAAGUAUCAGCCGGUUUGGAGUAUUGGGAGGACACUGGAAGAGCGGAAUUUAAGGUUCAUCUGUUUGAAUUGGAACUUGAGCUCGUCUCAAGAAGUCUGCUUACCACUAUAGGGAAAAGCAAACAAUGAUUGUAUUCUCUGAGAAGCCUCUGGCAGAACACGAAUUUGGAAAAAACAAGCACAUUAGUUUCAGUUUCUGUUGGUCAAGAUGAAAACAGCGGACAAUGAUGAAAUUUAUUAUUGGUGUUCCACCCAUCUCCUACCCACACUUCAAGGUCCACUUCAGGCCCCAGCCCCCAACAAAGCUGUUCAGGACCAGUGACUCUACAAUCUGAGACAAUGUGUACUUGUUGGAAGGACCUUCACAGCAUAUAGUCUAUGAAUCCAUGGGUAAGAGACUUCAUCACAGCCAUGGAAGAAUUAAUGAUGCUUAAUAACUCUUUGUGGACUCAACUGAAUAAAUGACUGACCUUAUAGCAGUUCUGCCAUCAUCUCCAUUCUUUUCCACUUUGGCUCACAAGACCCUACAGGAAUCUGAGGCCACUGACAACACCAACCUCACAUGUUCUCUGUGGGAUCUCAAGACUGCAGAUUUAACCACCUGGUCCUGAACUCAACAACAACCUGCCUACCAAUUACUUUAGUGAUUCAAACAGAAGCUCUUAGCUGCUUGUAUAUUAUGUAUGAUUUUUCUACCACUGCAUCUAGCUGUAACAAAUCCUACAUUUUUAUUCUUUCUAAAUCAAAUUGAUUCUGACUUCGUGCCUACACUAGUCAUGGAACUUCUUUCUCCCAAAGAAAUUCAAACUCUAAUAUUUUUGGAAACAGGUGGCUUAUGUGAGUAUCCAGAAACUGAGGAAAUGUUCUCUAAUCUUCAGUCAACCAUGAUGGUCUCUGAUAUGUAUGUUGUUCAAGUACACAUGAUCUAUUCACAAUAUGUAGACCUGUUACUACUCAAGCUUGGGCAUAGGGGUCUUACUGUAGUCUGGAUUCUUAACACCUGGCAUCAACCUCAAUAGACAUACUAGGAAGGUCCAGGGUGCUAUGAGGAAAUUGUUUCCUGGUAAAACCCUGCUUCGUUGUCAGUCUAUAUGACUUCUCCUUCUUUAGGACCAGCCCUUCUGUCUAACUCACUAGGUAUUUCUCUCUCUUUCUUUAUUUUGGGGCAAAUUCUGCCUGGUAGUGUGACCAUAUGUCAUUCAAAACAGAACACUUCUAAGUCUAAAAGCAAGUAUUAGUUACAACUACAUUAGGAAAGCAGGUGGUAUAAACCAGGAUAUAUGAUUUUCCUAUGUGUAGAUGUGAUAUUGUGAUAUAAUAAAAAAAAAAAUAUGUAUUUGGUCUCUGCCCCUGGUUCCUGGAGUGCAGCUCCAAAAUCCUUAGAAUCUUCCUAUUGAUAAGAUUGUCUUUUGUAUGCUAAUAAGAUGACUGGUGGCUGGUGGCCACUAGAUAGCUUCAGGAUGGGUGUGGUCACUAGAAAGACAAAGGCAUAAUUACAAAGUUGGGAUUUUCAGCCCUACUCUCCCAUCCUCCCAACAUCUAGGGACGGAGGGAAUAGGGGCUGAAGGUUGACUUUAUCACCAAUGGUCAAUAAUUUAAUGAACUUUGCCUACAUAAUAAAGCCUCCAUAAAAUCCCUAAAGGACUGGGUUCAGAGAGAUUCUAGAUUGUUGAACACAUGGAGGUUCCUAGAGGGUGUGCAGCCAAAGAAGGCAUGGAAGCUCCACGCUGCCCCUCCCAACCCCAUACCUUGCCCUAUGCAUCUCUUGGUCUGGCUCUUCAUCUGUGUCAUUUGUAAUAUCCUUCAUAAUAAAUGGAUAAAGAUAAGUAAUAUGUUUCC